AGAGUUUGAUCCUGGCUCAGGACGAACGCUGGCGGCGUGCCUAACACAUGCAAGUCGAGCGGAGACAGUGAGUAGCUUGCUAUGAGCUGUUUUAGCGGCGGACGGGUGAGUAACGCGUGAGCAACCUUUCCCAGACAGGGGAAUAACACACCGAAAGGUGUACUAAUACCGCAUAAGACCACGGGAUCACAUGGUUCUGAGGUAAAAGAUUUAUCGGUUUGGGGUGGGCUCGCGUCCGAUUAGGUAGUUGGUGAGGUAACGGCCCACCAAGCCGACGAUCGGUAGCCGACCUGAGAGGGUGAUCGGCCACAUUGGGACUGAGACACGGCCCAAACUCCUACGGGAGGCAGCAGUGGGGAAUAUUGGGCAAUGGAGGAAACUCUGACCCAGCAACGCCGCGUGGAGGAAGAAGGUUUUCGGAUCGUAAACUCCUGUCCUUGGAGACGAGUAGAAGACGGUAUCCAAGGAGGAAGCCCCGGCUAACUACGUGCCAGCAGCCGCGGUAAUACGUAGGGGGCAAGCGUUGUCCGGAAUAAUUGGGCGUAAAGGGCGCGUAGGCGGCUCGGUAAGUCUGGAGUGAAAGUCCUGCUUUUAAGGUGGGAAUUGCUUUGGAUACUGUCGGGCUUGAGUGCAGGAGAGGUUAGUGGAAUUCCCAGUGUAGCGGUGAAAUGCGUAGAGAUUGGGAGGAACACCAGUGGCGAAGGCGACUAACUGGACUGUAACUGACGCUGAGGCGCGAAAGUGUGGGGAGCAAACAGGAUUAGAUACCCUGGUAGUCCACACUGUAAACG
rnacentral:rRNA from 1 species